rnacentral:rRNA from 1 species
AGUGAACGCUGGCGGUAGGCCUAACACAUGCGAGUCGAACGGCAGCACAGUAAGAGCUUGCUCUUACGGGUGGCGAGUGGCGGACGAGUGAGGAAUACAUCGGAAUCUACUUUUUCGUGGGGGAUAACGUAGGGAAACUUACGCUAAUACCGCAUACGACCUACGGGUGAAAGCAGGGGAUCUUCGGACCUUGCGCGAUUGAAUGAGCCGAUGUCGGAUUAGCUAGUUGGCGGGGUAAAGGCCCACCAAGGCGACGAUCCGUAGCUGGUCUGAGAGGCUGAUCAGCCACACUGGAACUGAGACACGGUCCAGACUCCUACGGGAGGCAGCAGUGGGGAAUAUUGGACAAUGGGCGCAAGCCUGAUCCAGCCAUACCGCGUGGGUGAAGAAGGCCUUCGGGUUGUAAAGCCCUUUUGUUGGGAAAGAAAAGCAGCAGGUUAAUACCCCGCUGUUCUGACGGUACCCAAAGAAUAAGCACCGGCUAACUUCGUG